WAAUUAUCUUCUCCCGAUAAAMCUAAAUUUAUUUUURGGAGGAAAYAUUAAAAUAUUUUCURUAAUUUAUGAAAUUAUUUAUUAUAAAAGUUUUAUUCUUGCUUAUUUACUAAUGAUUAAUUAAGAUUAUAUGUAUAUUUGUUAAUUACUAUAUUUCAGUAAUAAAUAUUAUUAAUUAUUUUUAUUUUUAUUAAGUUAUUUAAUUAUAAUGGAUAAAAAUUGUGCCAGCAGUCGCGGUUAAACAAUUCAUUAAAUUUAUUAUUUUAAGUUUUAAUUAUUUAUUUUAUUGGGAAUAAAAUAUUUAAAUUUAGGUGGAAUUUAUUUAAAUAAAUAUUUUCUUUAUAGUUUUUAUUAAAUUUUUAUUUUAAACUAGGAUUAGAUACCCUAUUAUUUUUAAUUUAAUUUAUUUUGCUUGAAUAUUAUCAGCUGGUUUCUGUUAAACUCAAAGAAUUUGGCGGUAAUUAAUUUUUUUAGAGGAAUUUGGUUUUUAAUUGAUGAACCACGAUAAAUUUAACUUUUUUUUUAUUUGUAUAUCUCUAUAAUUAGGAAUGUUAUAAUAAUAUAUUUUCUUUAUUUUUUUAAAAAAUUAUGUUAGGUCAAGGUGCAGUUUUAGAAAAGCAAAUUUGAAUUACGUUAAUUUUAUAUACUUAUCAUUAAAUUAUUCAUUUUUUUAUAAACUAGAAUUUAAGAGUAAAUUUAAAUAAUUAUUUAUUUUGAAUAUAAUACUAAAUUAUGUACAUAUUGCCCGUCGCUCUCAUUUAAGUUGAGAUAAGUCGUAACAAAGUAAUUUUACUGGAAAGUGAGGUUAGAAUGA
rnacentral:ncRNA from 1 species